UAUAUGUUUUGUGAUUUCACAUUAACAUUAUACUAUUAUUUUUAAAUUCAGUAAAUUAAGAAUAUAAUACAAGCACUGUAAAAUGUUUCUUUACUCAAACUCAACUGUUUUAUAUCACUGCUGAUAUAAUGAGCCGUCUUCUAACAUAAGAAACAUAGUAAUGUUAAAAGUGAUGUUAAACUAAGAAAUCUUAAUAUCACAUGAAAGUUUUUUUUUUUUUUUUUUUUGUACUGGCACAACAUUACUGAAAGUUAUCAGAGGAAACACUGUUUUAAAAUGGUCUGUACUGAAGUCACACAUGCAUAUUUAUAGAACUGCGUAUUUAAAGGUAUAUUUUCUGUAAUGCUUGUAGAACAUGCACAUAUCAAGGAAUGUGUCUUUAAUUUUGCAAAGCAGAACCUGUUAAAUAAAUUUUGUUCUUUUUUUAGAAGAAGUCCUUCUGGCAGCUGCCUCCUGAUUGGUCUUCAACACACAGGUCUUGAUACACUGGCAUGUGAUGUUGAUGGCUGGCCACAAGUGUCCGUUGGGGUGCUGACUGUUAUUGAUGAAGAAGAACCUCUCAUUCCAAAUAAACUGUACCUUGACCCAGUGUCUACUGCAGUCAUUGUGGAGGGAGGUAUAGUACUGGAUAAUCUGCAGAAUCUGCCUCAGGCAAUUUGCAUCUUGUUUGGUCUGUCUUAUGCUUUAAAUUUGAAGUACCCAAAAGGCAUUAUCAACACUUUCAACUUCAUUCAGAAAGUGAUGCUUGGUUUGGGACAGAACAAACUGCCACCAAAACUACAAUCUCUGAAAAAUCUCCUGUUGAGCUGAGAUGUAAUCAAAUGUGCAAGAGUGAUGAUAUUUGACAUUUGAUAAAAAAAAAAAAAAAUGUUCUGACAGUGGAAUAAGAGUAGUUGAUAGAAAAAAAAGGAAAACUAAGGCACUUGUUUAAAAUUGUCAGCCCAUUGGUUCUUGAGCAAGUUAAGAGGCUGCCAGUGUAAUCGACGUGUGUCAGAGACAUUGGUUUUGGCACUCGUCAACUUGUUGGUUCUAUCAAAUUUGGUCUCUGAAAUGUUGUUGAUUUAAAGUUGUUAAGAUUCAAGGUAUGGCCCAUUUACUUAUAUAGAUUUUAUAUACAUGUAUUUAGAUUUUUGUAUUGUAAAAUAUUUUUGUUUUAAACAUUUUAAAAACCUGACUAUUUGCAUUUUCUUUUUACCCCAGUGCAAACUUGUGUGUACCAUCCUUGUGUCAGUUGUUAAGAAAAAUAAAUAUAUUUACCUUUGAA